rnacentral:rRNA from 1 species
UCAGGCCUAACACAUGCAAGUCAAACGACAAAUUUUUUUGUAGUGGCGGACGGGUGAGUAACACGUAAGAACCUGCCUUUAGGAGGGGGAUACCAUCUGGGAAACUGGUGCUAAUACCCCAUAUGCUGAGAAGUGAAAAGGUAUUUAACCGCCUAGAGAGGGGCUUGCGGCUGAUUAGCUAGUUGGUAGGGUAAUGGCCUCCCAAGGCGACGAUCAGUAGCUGGUUUGAGAGGAUGAUCAGCCACACUGGGACUGAGACACGGCCCAGACUCCUACGGGAGGCAGCAGUGAGGAAUUUUCCGCAAAGGGCGAAAGCCUGACGGAGCAAUACCGCGGGAGGUAUAUGGAGACCUGUGGGUUGUAAACUCCUUUCUCAGAGAAGAAU